CUCCUACGGGAGGCAGCAGUAGGGAAUCUUCGGCAAUGGACGAAAGUCUGACCGAGCAAUGCCGCGUGAGUGAAGAAGGUUUUCGGAUCGUAAAACUCUGUUGUUAGAGAAGAACAAGGACGUUAGUAACUGAACGUCCCCUGACGGUAUCUAACCAGAAAGCCACGGCUAACUACGUGC
rnacentral:rRNA from 1 species